rnacentral:lncRNA from 1 species
AAAUAGACAAAUAUUGUACAUAGGCAAGAUAGAGGUUUCAUCCAUGGAGCAAUAUUCCCAGCAAUUCCCUAAGCAUCCAAGUGAAUCAGGCAUCUCAGACCGAUGCCCUGGAGCAUGUAAUCAAAUGCCUUGUUGAUGUCGGCGAAAGGUACAGAGUGAGUGAUGAACUUGUCCAUAUCGAUCCCCAGCUCCUGCAACAUCAAGAAAUCGUCAUGUUAUCAUAUUCGCAUAUAUAUGGAGCUAGAAGACUGAGUGAUGGAUAGUAGGUAAUGAAUUGUCUAAACAGAUACCGAAACUCAUCACCUUGUUCAUGUAUUUGUUGACAAAAUUAGGAAUAUCUGAGACAGGUUUGUAGUUGCCAUAGAAAGCACCCUUGAGAGUCCUCUCACUCAGCAGAUUCAAUGGAUGAGUCUUGAACGCAUCAUCUAUCUUUGGCACACCGACAAGCACACAUACACCCCAACCCUGAAUAGAAGCAUAUCCAUAUAUUUUUUCAGCUAAAACAGACAAAGUAACGGGUAUAGUUUCUAUUUUUAACAGAGAGGGGGUUUGGAUAAUCUAAUU